rnacentral:lncRNA from 1 species
GAAUGAAAAGCAUAUGAGAAACGAUAUAAAACAUGUUCAUAAGAUUCAAAGUAGAUAGUAACUCCUGUAUGUAUAUAACUUAUAAGCUAUUCCUUUUUUGAUUGAUUAUCUAAUUUAACAUGGUCAUUAAACACAUUGCAAGUCUAUACUACAUUCAUGUUUUAGGACUGGAGUUGGCUAAAGGCAUAACCAUUGGUUAUCUAAUAAUAAUACCAAAACGAUC